GACGAACGCUGGCGGCAUGCCUAACACAUGCAAGUCGAACGGAAACUUCCUGUCUUUUUGGGCUCGUGUGCGUACCACCGGGUGACCUGCCCUUAAGUUCGGUGUAACUCCCCGAGGGGGGUGCUAAGACCAGUUAAGGUCUUACCACCAAAGAUUUCUCGCCUUUGGAUGGGCCCGCGUUGGAUUAGGUAGUUGGUAGGGUAAAAGCCUACCAAGGGGACGUUCCAUAGCUGGUCGGAGAGGAUGAUCAGCCACACUGGGACUGAGACACGGCCCAGACUCCUACGGGAGGCAGCAGUGGGGAAUAUUGGACAAGGGGCGAAAGCCUGAUACAGCAAUGCCGCGUGAGUGAUGAAGGCCUUAGGGUUGUAAAGCUCUUUUACCCGGGAUGAUAAUGACAGUACCGGGAGAAUAAGCUCCGGCUAACUCCGUG
rnacentral:rRNA from 1 species